rnacentral:rRNA from 1 species
GUAGGUGGCAAGCGUUGUCCGGAAUUAUUGGGCGUAAAGCGCGCGCAGGUGGUUCUUUAAGUCUGAUGUGAAAGACCCCCGGGCUCAACCGGGGAGGGUCAUUGGAAACUGGGGAACUUGAGUGCAGGAGAGGAAAGUGGAAUUCCACGUGUAGCGGUGAAAUGCGUAGAUAUGUGGAGGAACACCUGUGGCGAAGGCGACUUUCUGGCCUGUAACUGACACUGAGGCGCGAAAGCGUGGGGAGCAAACAGGAUUAGAUACCCUGGUAGUCCACGCCGUAAACGAUGAGUGCUAAGUGUUGGGGGGUUUCCGCCCCUCAGUGCUGCAGCUAACGCAUUAAGCACUCCGCCUGGGGAGUACGGUCGCAAAGACUG